rnacentral:misc_RNA from 1 species
CCGAGUUUUCAACUCCCAAACCCACUGUGAACCUUUACCUUUACCGUUGCUUCGGCGGGUCUCGGCCCCGGCGCCGCCCCCACCCCCUCCAGGGUUGGGGCGAGCCGGAAACAAGGCGCCCGCCGGAGGACCCAAACUCUUGAAUGACGAACUGUAGUAUUCUGAUUUCUUCCAAAAAAAUGAAUCA